rnacentral:tRNA from 1 species
UAGUUCAGUUGGUAAAGCAUCUGCCUGCAAUGCAGGAGACCCAGGUUCAAUCCCUGG